GACGUAGGGCGCGAGCGUUGUCCGGAUUUAUUGGGCGUAAAGAGCUCGUAGGCGGCUUGUUGCGUCGGCUGUGAAAUCUCGUGGCUUAACUGCGGGUCUGCAGCUGAUACGGGCGGGCUGGAGUUCGGUAGGGGAGACUGGAAUUCCUGGUGUAGCGGUGAAAUGCGCAGAUAUCAGGAGGAACACCGGUGGCGAAGGCGGGUCUCUGGGCCGAUACUGACGCUGAGGAGCGAAAGCGUGGGGAGCGAACAGG
rnacentral:rRNA from 1 species